CCUACGGGUGGCAGCAGUGGGGGAUAUUGCACAAUGGGGGAAACCCUGAUGCAGCGACGCCGCGUGUGGGAAGACGGUCCUCUGGAUUGUAAACCACUGUCCCCAGGGACGAAGAUGACGGUACCUGGGGCGGAAGCUCCGGCUAACUACGUGCCAGCCGCCGCGGUCCUACGCAGGGAGCGAGCGUUGUCCGGAAUUACUGGGUGUAAAGGGAGCGUAGGCGGGGAUGCAAGUUGGGUGUCAAAACUACCGGCUCAACUGGUAGUCGCACUCAAAACUGCAGCUCUUGAGUGAAGUAGAGGCAGGCGGAAUUCCUGGUGUAGCGGUGAAAUGCGUAGAUAUUAGGAAGAACACCGGUGGCGAAGGCAGCCUGCUGGGCUUUGACUGACGCUGAGGCUCGAAAGUGUGGGGAGCAAACAGGAUUAGAUACCCCUGUAGUC
rnacentral:rRNA from 1 species